GGGGCCGUAGCUCAGCUGGGAGAGCGUCGCGAUGGCAUUGCGAAGGUCUGGGGUUCGAUCCCCCACGGCUCCACCA
rnacentral:tRNA from 11 species